rnacentral:lncRNA from 12 species
CACAGGUGUCUGCACGGUGACUCAGUGACUCAGGUCCCAGGUGCCCGGGGGAUGACUCGGUGACUCGGGUCACAGGUACCCGGGGAGCGAUUCGGCGACUCGGGUCACAGGUGCCCGCGCGGUGACUCAGUGACUCAGGUCACAGGUGCCCGGGGGGUGACUCGGUGACUCGGGUCACAGGUGCCUCGGGGGAUGACUUGGGUCACAUGGCCCCACCUGUCACCCCCCCAUCCCCCGUGUCUUGCUGACACAGACAUGUGAGCGGGGCAGCAGCGAUGCGGAGGAGAAUGCGACUGGAGACAAAUGACCGCAGUCACCCGGCUCAGCCUCAGCUCACCCUUUCAGGGCCGCUGCGGGGAGACCCAAGUAACUAGGAUUCUGCUCCCAGGUCCGGGUCGCGUGGGCGCAGGUAUGGAGCGGCACGUCCACGCGGACAGAAAGAAAGGGAAAGGAAACCGCAUCACCUGGUCCUUUAAAAGCGGACAUGCACAUUCAGGUUAGAAGACCAGCAGCCUGGGGACGCCCGGGGGGCUCCGUGGGUGAGCCUGCCUCCGGCUCAGGGCGUGACCCCGGGGUCCUGGGAUCGAGGCCCACAUCGGGCUCCCUGCAGGGUGUCUGCUUCUCCCUCUGUCUCUGUCUCUCUGUCUCUCUCUCUCUCUCGAAUAAAUAAAUAAAAAUCUUUAAAGAAAAAACA